GAGGAAUAUUGGUCAAUGGACGCGAGUCUGAACCAGCCAAGUAGCGUGAAGGAUGAAGGCCCUAUGGGUCGUAAACUUCUUUUAUAGGGGAAUAAAGUGCGGAACGUGUUCCGUUUUGUAUGUACCCUACGAAUAAGGAUCGGCUAACUCCGUGCCAGCAGCCGCGGUAAUACGGAGGAUCCAAGCGUUAUCCGGAUUUAUUGGGUUUAAAGGGAGCGUAGGUGGAUAUAUAAGUCAGUUGUGAAAGUUUGCGGCUCAACCGUAAAAUUGCAGUUGAUACUGUAUGUCUUGAGUGUACAAGAGGUGGGCGGAAUUCGUGGUGUAGCGGUGAAAUGCUUAGAUAUCACGAAGAACUCCGAUUGCGAAGGCAGCUCACUAGGGUACAACUGACACUGAGGCUCGAAAGUGUGGGUAUCAAACAGGA
rnacentral:rRNA from 1 species